UGGAGGAACUGAAAAUUUACUUUUAUUUCAUUCAUUUAAUUUAAAUUUAACUAGUCACAUGUGACAAGUGGUUACCACGCUGGCCAGCACUGUUCUGAAGCCUCACACUUUUGCUUUCCCGCAAACAAUUAAGCCAACAAGUAGCUACCAUUUACCAAGCACCCACCACAUGCUGGUAUCUGUGGACGCUCUUUCAAGAGGACACUUCAAGGCAAAUCCUCAGUAACCUACCAUACUGACAAGAAACUGAGGCUCAAAGACAGGCAUGAACAAGCAUGCUCAAAGUCUACAGCGAGAAAGUCUCCAAGACCCAAGCUCUUUCAAUCCUAUUAAACUGCCUUCACAAACACACCCCCCGGGAGAUCCAGGCUUGCUAACAUCACAAGAAAGGCUAAUAUCCUUUGCCAUCUUCUUGUGUUAAAAGACAUUCCCUGAUGACAUUCAGGGGUAAACCCAGACACACUGUCUACCUUUCAAACAAUUCCUUUUGCCCUUGGUCAUGACAGAACAAGAAAGUCCAAGAAUAACCCCAGAUGGCCCGGGUCACUUUCCCUGUGUCUGCUACUGCUCCACCGCCACACUGGACUUGAGAGGAAGAUGCCUUGUUUAUUUUCUUCGCACAAGACCUUUCCCCAGAAGGGUCUCUCUGUAGCCCAGCUCUGCGUUCAGGCGGAGCACAGAGGACUUUUAGGAUGGUGAAGCUACCCAGUGAGAGACUACAAUGAGAUAAUUGGUCUUUCACAUUCCUCGUGCUGUCACCAAAAAUAACAGAGCAACAGCAGGGUGGAGGAAGAGCACCAGCACGGUGGAGGAAGAGCACCAACAUGGCAGAUAAAGAGCACCAACAUGGCGGAGGAAGAGCACCAACAUGGCGGAGAAAGAGCACCAACAUGGCAGAGGAAAAGCACCAACAUGGCGGAGGAAGAACACCAACAUGGCGGAGGAAGAACACCAACAUGGCGGAGAAACAGCACCAACAUGGCGGAUGAAGAGCACCAACAUGAAGCUAACCGCGUUCUCUUCACAGUUUGCCUUUCUUCCUCUUCUUCGUUGCUUUGACCGUCCUGCACAUAUCCAUUCUUAUGUCCAUCACCAAGACCUGAAAACCUCCACUGACUGGCUUCCCUACAGACUGAGAAUAUGGGUCAGGAUCACUCCCAGGGAAAGAUGGGAUCCACUUUAAAACCAAAUAUAUGAUUUAUAUCUGAAACUUGAGGACUAGAGCAUCCUGAGCCUAGCAGGUCAACUUGAAGCCACAAUGAAAAUAACUAAUAAAUAUAUUUUUUCUCUCCAGCAGAAAAGCUUAUAAAUCACAGCUGUGCAUUGUCCAAUCAACAUUCAACAGUGAUUCUUUUGAAAGUGACUGUGAAGAUCUGAAACUCUCAAGGAAACACAGAGAAAUA
rnacentral:lncRNA from 1 species